rnacentral:rRNA from 2 species
UACCAGCACCCCGAGUGGUCGGGACGAUUAUUGGGCCUAAAGCAUCCGUAGCCGGUUCUACAAGUCUUCCGUUAAAUCCACCUGCUUAACAGAUGGGCUGCAGAGGAUACUAUAGAGCUAGGAGGCGGGAGAGGCAAGCGGUACUCAGUGGGUAGGGGUAAAAUCCGUUGAUCCACUGAAGACCACCAGUGGCGAAGGCGGCUUGCCAGAACGCGCUCGACGGUGAGGGAUGAAAGCUGGGGGAGCAAACCGG